rnacentral:rRNA from 1 species
AGCACGGGGGCAACCCUGGUGGCGAGUGGCGAACGGGUGAGUAAUAUAUCGGAACAUGUCCGGAAGUGGGGGAUAACGUACCGAAAGGUACGCUAAUACCGCAUAUGCCCUGAGGGGGAAAGCGGGGGAUCGUAAGACCUCGCGCUUUCGGAGUGGCCGAUAUCAGAUUAGCUAGUUGGUGAGGUAAAGGCUCACCAAGGCGACGAUCUGUAGCUGGUCUGAGAGGACGACCAGCCACACUGGAACUGAGACACGGUCCAGACUCCUACGGGAGGCAGCAGUGGGGAAUUUUGGACAAUGGGCGCAAGCCUGAUCCAGCCAUGCCGCGUGAGUGAAGAAGGCCUUCGGGUUGUAAAGCUCUUUCAGCCGGAAAGAAAACGCACGGGAUAAUACCUUGUGUGGAUGACGGUACCGGAAGAAGAAGCACCGGCUAACUACGUGCCAGCAGCCGCGGUAAUACGUAGGGUGCGAGCGUUAAUCGGAAUUACUGGGCGUAAAGCGUGCGCAGGCGGUUUUGUAAGACAGAUGUGAAAUCCCCGGGCUUAACCUGGGAACUGCAUUUGUGACUGCAAGACUAGAGUACGGCAGAGGGGGGUAGAAUUCCACGUGUAGCAGUGAAAUGCGUAGAUAUGUGGAGGAAUACCGAUGGCGAAGGCAGCCCCCUGGGUCGAUACUGACGCUCAUGCA